rnacentral:rRNA from 1 species
GACGAACGCUGGCGGCGUGCUUAACACAUGCAAGUCGAACGGUGAAGCGCCUUCCUUUUUGGUGGGUGUGGAUGAGUGGCGAACGGGUGAGUAACACGUGAGUAACCUGCCCCCUUCUUCUGGAUAACCGCAUGAAAGUGUGGCUAAUACGGGAUAUUCUGGGUCUGUCGCAUGAUGGGUCUGGGAAAGAUAUUGUUUCGGUGGGGGAUGGGCUCGCGGCCUAUCAGCUUGUUGGUGGGGUGAUGGCCUACCAAGGCGGGGACGGGUAGCCGGCCUGAGAGGGUGGACGGUCACACUGGGAGUGCGACACGGCCCAGACUGCUACGGGAGGCAGCCGUGGGGAGUAUUGCACAAUGGGCGAAAGCCUGAUGCAGCGACGCCGCGUGAGGGAUGGCGGCCUUCGGGUUGUGAACCUCUUUCGCCAGUGAAGCAGGCCUGCCUCGUUUGUGGGUGGGUUGACAGUAGCUGGAUAAGAAGCGCCGGCUAACUACGUG